rnacentral:lncRNA from 1 species
ACUUUUUUUUUUUUUUUUUUUUUUUUUUUUUUUUUUUUUUUUUUUUUUUUUUGUUUUUUUUUUUUGCAAUGCCCCAGUUUGACUGUUUUGCUGGUUUUCGUGAUACAGCUGAAUGAGCUUCUUUUAUGCUCAAGAAGUCGGGUAAUCUCGUCAGGAAUCCCCUUUAACAUCAUCUUCCUCUGCCCCAGAUACAAGGACUUCAAGAUUGGGAGAUGGC